UAGGGAAUCUUCGGCAAUGGACGGAAGUCUGACCGAGCAACGCCGCGUGAGUGAAGAAGGUUUUCGGAUCGUAAAGCUCUGUUGUAAGAGAAGAACGAGUGUGAGAGUGGAAAGUUCACACUGUGACGGUAUCUUACCAGAAAGGGACGGCUAACUACGUGCCAGCAGCCGCGGUAAUACGUAGGUCCCGAGCGUUGUCCGGAUUUAUUGGGCGUAAAGCGAGCGCAGGCGGUUAGAUAAGUCUGAAGUUAAAGGCUGUGGCUUAACCAUAGUAGGCUUUGGAAACUGUUUAACUUGAGUGCAAGAGGGGAGAGUGGAAUUCCAUGUGUAGCGGUGAAAUGCGUAGAUGUAUGGAGGAACACCGGUGGCGAAAGCGGCUCUCUGGCUUGUAACUGACGCUGAGGCUCGAAAGCGUGGGGAGCAAACAGGAUUAGAUACCCUGGUAGUCCACGCUGUAAACGAUGAGUGCUAGGUGUUAGACCCUUUCCGGGGUUUAGUGCCGUAGCUAACGCAUUAAGCACUCCGCCUGGGGAGUACGACUGCAAGGUUG
rnacentral:rRNA from 1 species